rnacentral:rRNA from 1 species
GAUGAACGCUGGCGGCGUGCCUAAUACAUGCAAGUCGAGCGAACUGACGAGAAGCUUGCUUCUCUGAUGUUAGCGGCGGACGGGUGAGUAACACGUGGAUAACCUACCUAUAAGACUGGGAUAACUUCGGGAAACCGGAGCUAAUACCGGAUGAUAUUUUGAACCGCAUGGUUCAAAAGUGAAAGACGGUCUUGCUGUCACUUAUAGAUGGAUCCGCGCUGCAUUAGCUAGUUGGUAAGGUAACGGCUUACCAAGGCAACGAUGCAUAGCCGACCUGAGAGGGUGAUCGGCCACACUGGAACUGAGACACGGUCCAGACUCCUACGGGAGGCAGCAGUAGGGAAUCUUCCGCAAUGGGCGAAAGCCUGACGGAGCAACGCCGCGUGAGUGAUGAAGGUCUUCGGAUCGUAAAACUCUGUUAUUAGGGAAGAACAUAUGUGUAAGUAACUGUGCACAUCUUGACGGUACCUAAUCAGAAAGCCACGGCUAACUACGUG